UAUCACUGCCGUUUAUGUUCAACAUUUGAUCUUUCGUCUUAUUUAAAAAAUUAUAAUUAAUAUUUUAUUAUUAUUAGAUGAUAAAACAUAAAUAGUAAUUUAUAUGAUAUUAGGUUUUUUUAACUUUUUUAUAUAUUUUUUAAAUAAGACCAGCGGUCAAAAAUUGGACACGAAAAUCCAUGAGU
rnacentral:pre_miRNA from 1 species